rnacentral:rRNA from 1 species
GAUGAACGCUGGCGGCGUGCUUAAUACAUGCAAGUCGAGCGAACGGACGAGCAGCUUGCUUCUCUGAUGUUAGCGGCGGACGGGUGAGUAACACGUGGCUCACCUACCUAUUAGACUGGGCUAACUUCGGGAAACCGGAGCUAAUACCGGAUGAUAUUUUGAACCGCAUGGUUCAAAAGUGAAAGACGGUCUUGCUGUCACUUAUAGAUGGAUCCGCGCUGCAUUAGCUAGUUGGUAAGGUAACGGCUUACCAAGGCAACGAUGCAUAGCCGACCUGAGAGGGUGAUCGGCCACACUGGAACUGAGACACGGUCCAGACUCCUACGGGAGGCAGCAGUAGGGAGUCUUCCGCAAUGGGCGAAAGCCUGACGGAGCAACGCGGCGUGAGUGAUGAAGGUCGUCGGAUCGUAAAACUCUGUUAUUAGGGAAGAACAAAUGUGUAAGUAACUGUGCACAGCGUGACGGUACCUAAUCAGAAAGCCACGGCUAACUACGUG